CAGUCUAUAAGGCGUAGUUGUGCAAUAUAAACAUUUGAUUUGCGUCAAUAAAUUCCCAGAAAAACUACGUCGUUCAAGGGCCUGAGACUGCGUGGUUCCCGAACAGAUUUGACGUAGUUUUUAAGUAAACAGAUAACUAAAUUUUAUAUUUAAAAGGGCUGUAGUAAGCACUUCGAGUAGUAAGCUCAGUAUACGUAACCAAAUCACUGGUUUUCAAUUAUAUUUUGAAUAAUAUUCGGCGUUUGUUGAUUUUAAAAUGAAGUACGCGCUUUGUAUUCUCAUGAUUGUGGUUCUUGUUGAAGGACGGUAUUUUCAUCCAAGCAUCUCUUCUGAAACUAAAUCUGAGGACCUGGACAUCUACCGCAAUAUGAAACCGAAUCGCUUCGUUCCUAUCAACAACGUGAUGUCUUUCAAGAUAUAUGAUCCGUGUACGAACGGCCUCAAACGGGAUGUAGUGGGCAUAUGUCGGGAAGUAUGGGAUUAGCCAAGAUACAGAUAUUAUAUAGUAGAAUAAGAACUACUGGAAAACUCAGUUGUCAAUGGCACACGUCAAUUGGAAGUUACAUACAAAAAAUAUUAGUUUAAUGUGCAGGCGAACGUAACAUUUAUGAAGAAGGGAAAUCUGUGGAUAUUCAGACUUAAUCCGUUAUUCAGAAUGAAAAUAUACCUGCCGCAGAGCGGUCUAGUUGUUUAAUCUAUAAAUAAUAUAUUAACUGUAAUUUCUGAAGUGAUUUUUAAUGAUAUACAAUUUCUUUAUUAUCUUGUUCAUUAAAUCAAUAUCAAUAAUAGCACGCUUACUCUUUAUGACAGACAUAUUUUAUAAUUAACGUUUGUUUUGAAUAUUUGUAUUUCAAAAACAUACUGCUUAGUAUAUGGGCUGCGUAAUAAAACAUUUUGUAUUUUGUUGAGAUGUUUAAAAUGAUUUAAAUAAAAGAUAUCGUACUAA